rnacentral:misc_RNA from 1 species
AAAAAAAAAAGAAAAAAGGAACAAAAAUUGUAGAUUGGGAGAGUUGAUCUCAAAACCUUCAACUCCUUCACUGAACUUGUUAACCACCAAUCUCCAAGUGGACUAAAAAUGCUAUAAAAAUCUGGAAAUUUUAGUUAUUUCAAUUCGGUUCGGUUUAACUGAAUUUUUCUAUCUUAAAACUGAUCCAAACUGAAUAAACCUAAGUAUUUAAAAUUUAAAACUGUGCCAAACUGAAUUUCCAAAAAAACCAAAUCAAAAUUCUGAAUUAAAUCAGUUGGGUCGGUUUUUUGGGUUUGAACUGAACAGUGCUCAACCCUAUCUCUUGGAAAUCUAAGCUUGCUUUAUCUGCAUGCAUAAUGUGCUAUUGUACAUGGGUGCAGGUGUGUCUAUCGCAUAUGUAAAU